UCCGCUCUGAUGUUCAUCUGG
rnacentral:piRNA from 1 species